rnacentral:tRNA from 1 species
AGGCCCGUAGCUCAGCGGUAGAGCACCAAGCUUAUACCUUGGGAGUCGCAGGUUCGAACCCUGCCGGGCCUA